GGAGGGUGCAAGCGUUAUUCGGAAUCACUGGGCGUAAAGAGCGCGUAGGCGGUUUCUAAAGUCAGAUGUGAAAGCCCGGGGCUCAACCCCGGAAGUGCAUUUGAAACUUAGGGACUUGAGUAUGGGAGAGGGAAGUGGAAUUCCUGGUGUAGCGGUGAAAUGCGUAGAUAUCAGGAGGAACACCGGUGGCGAAGGCGACUUCCUGGACCAAUACUGACGCUGAGGCGCGAAGGCGUGGGGAGCAAACAGGAUUAGAUACCCUGGUAGUCCACGCAGUAAACGUUGAACACUAGGUGUAGCGGGUAUUGACCCCCCUGCUGUGCCCGCAGCUAACGCAUUAAGUGUUCCGCCUGGGGGAGUACGGCCCGCAAGGCUAA
rnacentral:rRNA from 1 species